rnacentral:snRNA from 1 species
GUGCUCGUUUCCACAGCACGAAUGCUAAAAUUGGAAUGACAUAAAAAAAGAUUAGCACGGCCCCUCCACAAGGAUGACAUGCAAAUCCAUGAGGCAUUCCAGAAGAAU